UACGGAGGGUGCGAGCGUUACCCGGAUUUACUGGGUGUAAAGGGCGCGCAGGCGGGAUAAAAAGUCAGUGGUGAAAUCCUACAGCUUAACUGUAGAACUGCCUUUGAUACUUUUAUUCUUGAGUUCGGGAGAGAGAGACGGAAUUCCAGGUGUAGUGGUGAAAUACGUAGAUAUCUGGAAGAACACCAGUUGCGAAGGCGGUCUCUUGGUCCGAUACUGACGCUGAGGCGCGAAAGCGUGGGGAGCAAACAGG
rnacentral:rRNA from 1 species